rnacentral:lncRNA from 1 species
UAAGCUCAAGUCCUUUGAUUAGCCAAGAUCAAGUUCUCUGAUCAGCCAAGGUCAAGUCCUCUGAUCAGCCAAGGUCAAGUCUUCUAAUCAGCCAAAGUCAAGUCAUCUGAUCAGCCAAGAUCUUGGCCUUCGAUCAGCCAAGUCAAGGUCUUUGAUCAGCCAAGAUCAAGGCCUUUGAUCAGCUGGAUCAAACCCAAGUCCAAGUCUAGGUCGAGCAACUCUAAGUCGAUGUAGAGUAACACCAAGUUGGAGGUGGAACUUAACUUCAAGUCGAGGUGCGAACCUAAUUCCAAGUCCGGUCAAGCAAUUCCAAGUCACCAACAUCAAUGGGUG